rnacentral:rRNA from 1 species
UACGUAGGGGGCUAGCGUUGCCCGGAAUCAUUGGGCGUAAAGAGCGUGUAGGCGGCCCGGUAAGUCCGCUGUGAAAGUCGGGGGCUCAACCCUCGAAUGCCGGUGGAUACUGUCGGGCUAGAGUGCGGAAGAGGCGAGUGGAAUUCCUGGUGUAGCGGUGAAAUGCGCAGAUAUCAGGAGGAACACCGGUGGCGAAGGCGGGUCUCUGGGCCGAUACUGACGCUGGAGGAGCGAAAGCCGUGGGGAGCGAACAGG